GAUGAACGCUGGCGGCGUGCCUAAUACAUGCAAGUAGAACGCUGAAGCUUGGUGCUUGCACCGAGCGGAUGAGUUGCGAACGGGUGAGUAACGCGUAGGUAACCUGCCUGGUAGCGGGGGAUAACUAUUGGAAACGAUAGCUAAUACCGCAUAACAGUAGAUAUUGCAUGAUAUCUGCUUGAAAGGUGCAAUUGCAUCACUACCAGAUGGACCUGCGUUGUAUUAGCUAGUUGGUGAGGUAACGGCUCACCAAGGCGACGAUACAUAGCCGACCUGAGAGGGUGAUCGGCCACACUGGGACUGAGACACGGCCCAGACUCCUACGGGAGGCAGCAGUAGGGAAUCUUCGGCAAUGGACGGAAGUCUGACCGAGCAACGCCGCGUGAGUGAAGAAGGUUUUCGGAUCGUAAAGCUCUGUUGUAAGAGAAGAACGAGUGUGAGAGUGGAAAGUUCACAC
rnacentral:rRNA from 1 species